GUGUCAGCAGCCGCGGUAAUACGAAGGGAACUAGCGUUGUUCGGAAUCACUGGGCGUAAAGCGGGCGCAGGCGGAUAUUCAAGUCAGGGGUGAAAUCCUGAGGCUUAACCUCAGAAUUGCCUUUGAGACUGUGUAUCUGGAGUGUGUGAGGGGGUAGCGGAAUUCCGAAUGUAGAGGUGAAAUUCGUAGAUAUUCGGAGGAACACCGGUGGCGAAGGCGGCUACCUGGCACACAACUGACGCUGAGGCCCGAAAGCGUGGGGAUCAAACAGGAUUAGAUACCCGGGUAGUCC
rnacentral:rRNA from 1 species